rnacentral:lncRNA from 1 species
AGUUUUCAAUUUUAAUGCAAACAUGUUGAAUUAAGUCUUUUCAGCCACAUCGGGGCUAUGGGAAUCGAACCCACUUAUUCCAAGACCCCCCACACGAAUCACGAGCAAGAACGGGGCUACAACCCUAUAACAAAGGUCCAUUUCUCUCUUUAUACGAAAUUCUCUUUCUUCCCUUUCUUAUCAGCGACAAAGAGGCUGACUCUAUAUCUGUCUUUCUAUACGAAAUUUUAGUUUGACCUCUUUUCUACAAAAUGGAAUCAUCCUGGCAUCCAUCAACACUCCCUUGUACUAGUCGACGAAGGACCUUAUGAGGUAAGAGAUCGCCUUUUUAGGCAUGGCAUGGGAAGGUUUAGGGAAGGGAUCUUAUGGCUAUAUAUUUUCUUGUACGGUAUUGAACAUUCCUUUC